AUUUACUAAUAUUUUCUUGAACAACAAAAAAAUCUCUUGGAUAAAUAAAUAUAAAGAAAAUUAGCGUAAAAUUCCUAACAAGAUUAUGUUCACAAAUUUACGAGUCUUCCGUAGAAAACUGACAUUAUCAUUUUGUUUCGUAGUGGGCUUCUUAUGAUAAGUGUUGGGUUUGAUAUUGCUUUGCUUAUAAAUGCAACAAAGAAACCAAAUUCCCCACGUGACACUUCGACUGCAAGUUCAAGAUGAUCAUUGAAGACUAAAAGAUCAUGAUGAUAUUGUUGAUCUAAGCCAAAGUAAUAGUCCAUAUUAUGAGUGAGAUCCUAGAAAAUGUAUCCCAACAUGGCAAUAUUCGACGACAAGCAAGAUUAGGUUCGAAAAUUUUAUGUCGAUGUAGGAUCAUAUCAACCAAUAUAUAUGACAUUUUUCCUCCAUUAGAUUAAUUGUCAUGUACCUUGGUUGGAUUUGCAUUUAUCUUCUGCUGCAUCAAGUUUUGGGAUAUUUGAUAUGUUAUGCCAAGCAUUAAAAAUGAAAAAUCAAGAUAUUUUAAAUGCAAUGCAAAAAAGUGGGCUUUGGAAAGUGAAUAUUUUAAAUAAAAUGAAUUUAAUCUCAACUAAAAAAUUGUUUGUUCAAAAGAUGUGAGAAGGGAACCCAGAUCUUAUUUUGUAAACGUAACAUUGAUGAACUUGUGUAAAGAAGAAACACUAUCCAUUUGUUGAUUCCCAAUGAAUAUUGAGUCCUUGUUUGAGCCCCAUUCUUUGAGGAAAAAAAAAAAAAACCACAUUUUUAAACAUUAUUUGGACAUCAUUUCAACUACACAUUUUUUAAUAGAAUAAUAUUACGUGGAAAUUCAAAAAUUUUCCUUAUUUUUUAACCACACAUUUUCCAUUAAUACACUAUGCAAAAAUACAUUUUCCCCCAAAAUGGGACUCAAACAAGGGCUGAAUGUAAUUGGAGGGAAAAAAAAAUUGAAAAUCUCAAAGUUCAAUAUUUUUAGCAAAAACAACCAAGCUCCAAUGAACCUAGAACGUGAAUGAAGGAAAAUAUACUAUGACGGCAUUAAAGACAAAAUUUCACUAGCUCUGAACAACUAAUAUUAAAAAAAAAAAACAUUAACAAAGAACAAAUCGAUAAGGAAUUUAAACAGCAGCCAAGCAGCAGGUCGUGCGCCUAGGGGCGAUCCUCACAAGUGU
rnacentral:lncRNA from 1 species